rnacentral:rRNA from 1 species
GAUGCAAGUCGAAGUGAUUUCUAUAAUUGUAUAGGAUGAAAGUGGCGAACGGGUGAGUAACAGUAGGUGACUGCCCCGAGACGGGGGAUAACUCCUUGAAAGAGGAGCUAAUACCCCAGAUGUCUCAGCCGUUAGAGGGCUGAGACUAAAACCCUGGUGUCUUGGGAGGGGCCUGCGGGCUAUCAGCUAGUUGGUGGGGUAAGAGCCUACCAAGGCGAAGACGGCUAGGGGGCGUGAGAGCGCGAUCCCCCACAAGGGAACUGAGAGACGGUCCCUACUCCUACGGGAGGCAGCAGUGAGGAAUAUUGAGCAAUGGGCGCAAGCCUGACUCAGCAACGCCGCGUGGAGGAAGACGGCCUUCGGGUUGUAAACUCCUUUUCUGCGGGACGAUGAUGACGGUACCGCAGGAACAAGUUCCGGCUAACUACGUGCCAGCAGCCGCGGUAAAACGUAGGGGACAAGCGUUAUCCGGAUUUACUGGGCGUAAAGCGCCCGUAGGCGGCCUGGAAAGUUGGCUGUGAAAGCUCCCGGCUUAACUGGGAGAGGUCAGUCAAAACUGUCAGGCUAGAGGCUGAGAUAGGCGAGCGGAAUUCCCGGUGU